CUAUAGAAGCACCUGAGUGCUCCACUUAACUGGGCAGAAGGCCCAGGCCACCUAGCAACAGUGACUUCUUCAGCUGUGGCUUGUGAAUGAACAGUUGCUUACUGUUGGGAAGGUGAGAGCUGUGUUUUCCUCACAUUCUACCUCAGAGUAUCAGCACAGAGACAACUGCUGGAACAAGACAGUGGCAGGAGAUGGUGGAGAGCAUGUUUGAGAGAUCUCCAUUAAGGAUGCAUGCUGUUGUGGAAGAACUCGGGGACUCAGAAAACAUGCUUCUCCUCCAAGGCAAUGAUAAACAAGAGCAGUUGCAACUUUGCUGUGUUUUUCAGCUGGAAUAGCACCACAGCCUCUAAAAGGCAAGACCCCCACAGACAAAGAGCUAUCCUGCAUCAGAAGUUCCAAGAAGCAAAUGGACACAUGUGAUUUCAGAAGCCCCUAAGUGACUUCUGAACACCAGUGCCAUUCAGCUGCAGGGAGACUUUGAGCUGUUCAGCACUUGUUUAUGCAGAAAGGUUACACCUCCUGUUCUGGUGUAGCCCUACUGAUGGAUCACUCCUGGGAUAAUUGGCUUUUCUGGGUUAGUUUAAGUUCUCCAAAAUGCAGUAAACGAAACCACUGGCUCCUUAACUGUAGUCUAUAGAAUUACACUGAGCAGUAAAAUUUAUGAAUGAGUCAGUUCCGUGUGGUUAUCCAAGGUGACUCAGAGAAAUUCCACUGCUGGGCAGCAGUCUCUUGGCCCUAACUUUAAGAACCACUAAACCAAAUAAAAUAAAGAUGUCCUUAUUCCAAAUUAAGGUCA